GACGAACGCUGGCGGCGUGCUUAACACAUGCAAGUCGAACGGAAAGGCCCUGCUUUUGUGGGGUGCUCGAGUGGCGAACGGGUGAGUAACACGUAAGUAACCUGCCCUUGACUUUGGGAUAACUUCAGGAAACUGGGUCUAAUACCGGAUAGGAGCUCCUGCUGCAGGGUGGGGGUGGGAAAGUUUCGGCGGUUGGGGAUGGACUCGCGGCUUAUCAGCUUGUUGGUGGGGUAGUGGCUUACCAAGGCUUUGACGGGUAGCCGGCCUGCGAGGGUGACCGGCCACAUUGGGACUGAGAUACGGCCCAGACUCGUACGGGAGGCAGCAGUGGGGAAUAGUGCACAAGGGGCGGAAGGCUGAUGCAGCAACGCCGCGUGCGGGAUGACGGCAUUCGGGUUGUAAACCGCCUUCGCCUGUGACGAAGUGAGAGUGACGGUAAUGGGUAAAGAAGCACCGGCUAACUACGUG
rnacentral:rRNA from 1 species